rnacentral:rRNA from 1 species
UACGUAGGGUGCAAGCGUUAAUCGGAAUUACUGGGCGUAAAGCGUGUGUAGGCGGGCCCGUAAGUGUCUUGUGAAAUCCCACGGCUCAACCGUGGAACUGCUGGGCAUACUGCGGGUCUUGGGCCAACUAGGGGCAGCCGGAACAAGCGGUGGAGCGGUGAAAUGCGUAGAUAUCGCUUGGAACGCCGAAGGUGAAAACAGGCUGCUGGGGUUGCGCCGACGCUGAGACACGAAAGCCAGGGGAGCAAACGGG